CAGUGGCGAACGGGUGCGUAACACGUUGGUGACCUGCCUUGAGGAGGGGGACAACCGUGGGAAACCACGGCUAAUACCCCGGAUGUCUAAACUGUUAGAGGGUUUAGACUAAAACUUCGGUGCCUCAAGAGGGGCCUGCGGGCUAUCAGCUUGUUGGUGGGGUAAUGGCCUACCAAGGCUAAGACGGCUAGGGGGCGUGAGAGCGCGACCCCCCACAAUGGAACUGAGACACGGUCCAUACUCCUACGGGAGGCAGCAGUGAGGAAUAUUGCGCAAUGGGGGAAACCCUGACGCAGCAACGCCGCGUGAACGAUGAAGGCCUUCGGGUCGUAAAGUUCUUUUCUAAGGGAAGAUAGUGACGGUACCUUAGGAAUAAGUCCCGGCUAACUACGUGCCAGCAGCCGCGGUAAAACGUAGGGGGCGAGCGUUAUCCGGAUUUAUUGGGCGUAAAGCGCACGUAGGUGGCGCUGUAAGUUAGACGUGAAAGCUCUCGGCUCAACUGAGAGAGGUCGUUUAAAACUGCAGUGCUUGAGGUUAGAAGAGGAGAGCAGAAUUCCCGGUGUAGUGGUGGAAUGCGUAGAUAUCGGGAGGAAUACCAGUGGCGAAGGCGGCUCUCUAGUCUACACCUGACACUGAGGUGCGAAAGCGUGGGUAGCGAACGGGAUUAGAUACCCGGUAGUCCACGCUGUAACGAUGGAUACUAGUGUAGGGGGUCAUGUAACCCCUCUGUGCCGAAGCAAACGCGUUAAGUAUCCCGCCUGGUGAUUACGGCCGCAAGGCUUAUACUCUAUAGGAAUUUACGGGGGCCCGCACAAGCAGCGGAGCGUGUGGUUUAAUUCGUAUGAUACGCGAAGAACCUUACCUGGGCUGAACUACGUGGUAGUAGUGUAGCGAAAGCGGAUCGACCCUUCGGGGAGCCUCGAUAGGUGCUGCAUGUCUGUCGUCAGCUCGUGUCGUGAGAUGUUGGGUUAUAGUCCCGCAACGAGCGCUACCCUCGUCGCUAGUUACAAGUGUCUAGCGAGUCUGCCGGUAUCAUACCGGUAGGUAGGUGGGGUAUGACGUCAAGUCAGCAUGGUCUUUAUGUCCAGGGCUACACACACGCUACAAUGGUCGGUACAAUAGGUUGCCACACCGCGAGGUGGAGCUAAUCCUCAAAGCCGAUCUCAGUUCGGAUUGUAGUCUGCUACUCGACUACAUGAAGGCGGAGUUGCUAGUAACCGCGCGUCAGCAUAGUGCGGUGAAUGCGUUCCCGGGCAUUGUACACACCGCCCGUCACAUCA
rnacentral:rRNA from 1 species